rnacentral:rRNA from 1 species
GUCUCCGUUGGUGAACCAGCGGAGGGAUCAUUAAAAUGAUAGGGUAACCGCCCAAAACCUACUGUGCUCGUGGAAGAAAACACCGCUGAGGCCGGCCGCCCGCUGGGGGGGCCUCGGGCCGCGGGCGGCGCGCCCCUCCGUUGCGAGGUGGUGCGGCGCCCCGGUGGCCGGCCGAAGCAAACCUACUCAAAAACGCGAACCCCCUCGUGGGCAGCAGUUAUCUGAGAAGAACCCAAAUAAAAAAUCACAACCCAUAACAAUGGAUCUCUUGGCUCUGGCAUCGAUGAAGAACGCAGCGAAAUGCGAUAAAUAAUAUGAAUUGCAGAAUUCAGUGAAUCAUCGAGUUUUUGAACGCACAUUGCGCCCUCUGGUAUUCCGGAGGGCAUGUCCGACCGAGCGUCGCACGCACCGCCCGGGAUGAAUAUACAACCCGGUGUUGGGGUUAGCUCGUGGUCCCUUCCCAGGGGCCGCGCCCCCGAAAUGCAGUGGCGACCCCCCGGCGGCGCCCCCAGCGCAGUGAAUCAAGCUCGCUCGGGGACCGCGUGGUAGCGGGCCCGCCGUAAAGCGCGCAAGCAAACAUACCUGAGUUGGCCUCGGGUCGGACAAGAUUACCCGCUGAACUUAAGC